rnacentral:rRNA from 1 species
GUCCCAGUUCGGAUUGUAGUCUGCAACCCGACUACAUGAAGCCGGAAUCGCUAGUAAUCGCGGAUCAGAAUGCCGCGGUGAAUACGUUCCCGGGUCUUGUACACACCGCCCGUCACACCAUGGGAGUUGGAAAUGCCCGAAGUCAGUGGCCCAACCGGGAAGGGGGGGAGCUGCCGAAGGCAGGUUCGAUGACUGGGGUGAAGUCGUAACAAGGUACC